CUCUGCUCUUCUACUUAAAUGGAACAAAGAUCCACCGAUGCCCAUCACGCUGCUCCUCCACGGUAUCGCGGCAUUCGCCAGCGAAAAUGGGGGAAAUGGGUGUCUGAAAUCCGGGAGCCUGGUACGAAAAAGCGCAUUUGGCUUGGGAGUUAUGAAUUGCCGGAGAUGGCAGCUGCUGCAUAUGAUGUUGCUGCAUUGCACUUCAGGGGACCUGGAGUUCACCUCAACUUCCCUGAACUUGCUGAUAGUUUUCCUAGGCCUAAGAGUUCUACAGCAGAGGAUGUGCAAAUGGCGGCUCAAGAGGCUGCUUUACGGUUUAGGAAUAGAAGACCGAUGAUGAAACGUUCAGAAGCAGUGGAUGGCUCUGGUGGUGGCGGUGGCUGCGGCGGCAGCUGUAGCGGCGGGGGUUUGGGUCCUGUAAGAAUUGGGCUUUCGCCGAG
rnacentral:misc_RNA from 1 species